ACCAGAAUGGCCGAGUGGUUAAGGCGUUGGACUUAAGUUCCAAUGGACGUAUGUCUGCGUGGGUUCGAACCCCACUUCUGGUA
rnacentral:tRNA from 2 species